CAACCCUUGACAUCCUGUGCUACAUCCAGAGAUGGAUGGUUCCUUUCGGGGACGCAGUGACAGGUGCUGCAUGGCUGUCGUCAGCUCGUGUCGUGAGAUGUUCGGUUAAGUCCGGCAACGAGCGCAACCCACGUCUUUAGUUGCCAGCAGUUCGGCUGGGCACUCUAAAGAAACUGCCCGUGAUAAGCGGGAGGAAGGUGUGGAUGACGUCAAGUCCUCAUGGCCCUUACGGGUUGGGCUACACACGUGCUACAAUGGUGUCUACAGUGGGUUAAUCUCCAAAAGACAUCUCAGUUCGGAUUGGGGUCUGCAACUCGACCCCAUGAAGUCGGAAUCGCUAGUAAUCGCGUAACGGCAUGACGCGGUGAAUACGUUCCC
rnacentral:rRNA from 1 species